rnacentral:rRNA from 1 species
UACGAAGGGGGCGAGCGUUGUUCGGAUUUACUGGGCGUAAAGGGCGCGCAGGCGGCGGACCAAGUCAGGCGUGAAAGCCCCGGGCUUAACCUGGGAACUGCGUCUGGGACUGGUUUGCUAGAGAUCGGGAGAGGAGAGUGGAAUUCCCAGUGUAGAGGUGAAAUUCGUAGAUAUCAGGAGGAACACCGGUGGCGAAAGCGGCGACCUGGCCCGAUACUGACGCUCAUGGACGAAAGCGUGGGGAGCAAACAGG